GAAAUUACGCCUUCCAUGAAGCUGGAAUUGCUAGUAAUGGCAGGUCAGCAUACUGCCGUGAAUACGUUCCCGGGCCUUGUACACACCGCCCGUCACACCAUGAGAGUUGGAAAUACCCGAAGCCUGUGAGCUAACUGUAAAGAGGCAGCAGUCGAAGGUAGAGCCAAUGAUUGGGGUGAAGUCGUAACAAGGUACC
rnacentral:rRNA from 1 species